rnacentral:rRNA from 2 species
AGUGGCGGACGGGUGAGUAACACGUAGGUAACCUGCCCAGAAGCGGGGGACAACAUUUGGAAACAGAUGCUAAUACCGCAUAACAGCGUUGUUCGCAUGAACAACGCUUAAAAGAUGGCUUCUCGCUAUCACUUCUGGAUGGACCUGCGGUGCAUUAGCUUGUUGGUGGGGUAACGGCCUACCAAGGCGAUGAUGCAUAGCCGAGUUGAGAGACUGAUCGGCCACAAUGGGACUGAGACACGGCCCAUACUCCUACGGGAGGCAGCAGUAGGGAAUCUUCCACAAUGGGCGCAAGCCUGAUGGAGCAACACCGCGUGAGUGAAGAAGGGUUUCGGCUCGUAAAGCUCUGUUGUUAAAGAAGAACACGUAUGAGAGUAACUGUUCAUACGUUGACGGUAUUUAACCAGAAAGUCACGGCUAACUACGUGCCAGCAGCCGCGGUAAUACGUAGGUGGCAAGCGUUAUCCGGAUUUAUUGGGCGUAAAGAGAGUGCAGGCGGUUUUCUAAGUCUGAUGUGAAAGCCUUCGGCUUAACCGGAGAAGUGCAUCGGAAACUGGAUAACUUGAGUGCAGAAGAGGGUAGUGGAACUCCAUGUGUAGCGGUGGAAUGCGUAGAUAUAUGGAAGAACACCAGUGGCGAAGGCGGCUACCUGGUCUGCAACUGACGCUGAGACUCGAAAGCAUGGGUAGCGAACAGGAUUAGAUACCCUGGUAGUCCAUGCCGUAAACGAUGAGUGCUAGGUGUUGGAGGGUUUCCGCCCUUCAGUGCCGGAGCUAACGCAUUAAGCACUCCGCCUGGGGAGUACGACCGCAAGGUUGAAACUCAAAGGAAUUGACGGGGGCCCGCACAAGCGGUGGAGCAUGUGGUUUAAUUCGAAGCUACGCGAAGAACCUUACCAGGUCUUGACAUCUUGCGCCAACCCUAGAGAUAGGGCGUUUCCUUCGGGAACGCAAUGACAGGUGGUGCAUGGUCGUCGUCAGCUCGUGUCGUGAGAUGUUGGGUUAAGUCCCGCAACGAGCGCAACCCUUGUUACUAGUUGCCAGCAUUAAGUUGGGCACUCUAGUGAGACUGCCGGUGACAAACCGGAGGAAGGUGGGGACGACGUCAGAUCAUCAUGCCCCUUAUGACCUGGGCUACACACGUGCUACAAUGGACGGUACAACGAGUCGCGAACUCGCGAGGGCAAGCAAAUCUCUUAAAACCGUUCUCAGUUCGGACUGCAGGCUGCAACUCGCCUGCACGAAGUCGGAAUCGCUAGUAAUCGCGGAUCAGCAUGCCGCGGUGAAUACGUUCCCGGGCCUUGUACACACCGCCCGUCACACCAUGAGAGUUUGUAACACCCAAAGUCGGUGGGGUAACCUUUUAGGAGCCAGCCGCCUAAGGUGGGACAGAUGAUUAGGGUGAAGUCGUAACAAGGUAGCCGUAGGAGAACCUGCGGCUGGAUCACCUCCUUU